rnacentral:rRNA from 1 species
GUGGGGAAUUUUGGACAAUGGGCGCAAGCCUGAUCCAGCAAUGCCGCGUGCAGGAAGAAGGCCUUCGGGUUGUAAACUGCUUUUGUACGGAACGAAACGGUCCUGGUUAAUACCCGGGGCUAAUGACGGUACCGUAAGAAUAAGCACCGGCUAACUACGUGCCAGCAGCCGCGGUAAUACGUAGGGUGCAAGCGUUAAUCGGAAUUACUGGGCGUAAAGCGUGCGCAGGCGGUGCUGUAAGACAGGCGUGAAAUCCCCGGGCGUAACCUGGGAAUUGCGCUUGUGCCUGCAGUGCUGGAGUGCGGCAGAGGGGGAUGGAAUUCCGCGUGUAGCAGUGAAAUGCGUAGAUAUGCGGAGGAACACCGAUGGCGAAGGCAAUCCCCUGGGCCUGCACUGACGCUCAUGCACGAAAGCGUGGGGAGCAACCAGGAUUAGAAACCCUAGUAGUCC